UAAAACGUAGGAGGCGAGCGUUAUCCGGAUUUACUGGGCGUAAAGGGCAAGUAGGCGGUAGCACAAGAUGGGUGUGAAAUCUCCCGGCCUAACUGGGAGGGAGCGCUCAAGACUAUGUUACUAGAGGGCAGAAGAGGGGGGUGGAACUCCUAGUGUAGCGGUGGAAUGCUCAGAUAUUAGGAAGAACACCAGUGGCGAAGGCGACCCCCUGGUCUGCACCUGACGCUGAGAGGCGAAAGCUAGGGUAGCAAACGGGCUUAGAUACCCCGGUAGUCCUAGCUGUAAACGGUGGAUACUAGGUAUUGGGGGUAAUAAUACUCCCUCAGUGCCGAAGCAAACGCGUUAAGUAUCCCGCCUGGGGAGUACGGCCGCAAGGUUG
rnacentral:rRNA from 1 species